UUGCCCUAGUAACGGCGAGUGAAGCGGCAACAGCUCAAAUUUGAAAUCUGGCUUCGGCCCGAGUUGUAAUUUGCAGAGGAAGCUUUAGGCGCGGCACCUUCUGAGUCCCCUGGAACGGGGCGCCAUAGAGGGUGAGAGCCCCGUAUAGUUGGAUGCCUAGCCUGUGUAAAGCUCCUUCGACGAGUCGAGUAGUUUGGGAAUGCUGCUCAAAAUGGGAGGUAAAUUUCUUCUAAAGCUAAAUACCGGCCAGAGACCGAUAGCGCACAAGUAGAGUGAUCGAAAGAUGAAAAGCACUUUGAAAAGAGGGUUAAAUAGCACGUGAAAUUGUUGAAAGGGAAGCGCUUGUGACCAGACUUGCGCCGGGCGGAUCAUCCGGUGUUCUCACCGGUGCACUCCGCCCGGCUCAGGCCAGCAUCGGUUCUCGCGGGGGGAUAAAGGUCCUGGGAACGUAGCUCCUCCGGGAGUGUUAUAGCCCGGGGCGUAAUGCCCUCGCGGGGACCGAGGUUCGCGCAUCUGCAAGGAUGCUGGCGUAAUGGUCAUCAGCGACCCGUCUUGAAACACGGACCAAGGAGUCAAGGUUUUGCGC
rnacentral:rRNA from 1 species